GAUGAACGCUAGCGGCAGGCUUAACACAUGCAAGUCGAGGGGCAGCAUGAACCGACCUUCGGGAAGGUUUGAUGGCGACCGGCGCAAGGGUGCGUAACGCGUGAGCAACUUGCCCGUUUCAGGGGGAUAACCGGUGGAAACGCCGACUAAUACCCCCAUGGCAUUGACCUCAGGCAUCUGAGAUCAAUUAAAGAAUUUCGGAAACGGAUAGGCUCGCGUGACAUUAGCUAGUGGUGGGUAACGGCCUACCAAGGCGACGAUCAGUAGCCGGACUGAGAAGUUGAACGGCACAUUGGGACUGAGAUACGGCCCAGACUCCUACGGGAGGCAGCAGUCGGGAAUAUUGCGCAAUGGAGGAAACUCUGACGCAGUGACGCCGCGUAUAGG
rnacentral:rRNA from 1 species